GAUGAACGCUGGCGGCGUGCCUAAUACAUGCAAGUCGAGCGAACGGACGAGAAGCUUGCUUUUCUGAUGUUAGCGGCGGACGGGUGAGUAACACGUGGAUAACCUACCUAUAAGACUGGGAUAACUUCGGGAAACCGGAGCUAAUACCGGAUAAUAUUUUGAACCGCAUGGUUCAAAAGUGAAAGACGGUCUUGCUGUCACUUAUAGAUGGAUCCGCGCUGCAUUAGCUAGUUGGUAAGGUAACGGCUUACCAAGGCAACGAUGCAUAGCCGACCUGAGAGGGUGAUCGGCCACACUGGAACUGAGACACGGUCCAGACUCCUACGGGAGGCAGCAGUAGGGAAUCUUCCGCAAUGGGCGAAAGCCUGACGGAGCAACGCCGCGUGAGUGAUGAAGGUCUUCGGAUCGUAAAACUCUGUUAUUAGGGAAGAACAUAUGUGUAAGUAACUGUGCACAUCUUGACAGUACCUAAUCAGAAAGCCACGGCUAACUACGUG
rnacentral:rRNA from 1 species